UUGGCAACACUGUUUACUUUAGUCAUCGUGAAACUUGCAAACUAGCACAUUAUUAGGAAAGGCGAUUUACAAAGAUUCAUAAAAAAAA